UGCCAGCCGCCGCGGUAAUACGGAGGGGGUUAGCGUUGUUCGGAAUUACUGGGCGUAAAGCGCACGUAGGCGGAUUAGUAAGUUAGGGGUGAAAUCCCAGGGCUCAACCCUGGAACUGCCUUCGAUACUGCUAGUCUUGAGUUCGAGAGAGGUGAGUGGAAUUCCGAGUGUAGAGGUGAAAUUCGUAGAUAUUCGGAGGAACACCAGUGGCGAAGGCGGCUCACUGGCUCGAUACUGACGCUGAGGUGCGAAAGCGUGGGGAGCAAACAGGAUUAGAUA
rnacentral:rRNA from 1 species